rnacentral:rRNA from 1 species
GAUGAACGCUGGCGGCGUGCCUAAUACAUGCAAGUCGAGCGAAUGGAUUGAGAGCUUGCUCUUAUGAAGUUAGCGGCGGACGGGUGAGUAACACGUGGGUAACCUGCCCAUAAGACUGGGAUAACUCCGGGAAACCGGGGCUAAUACCGGAUAACAUUUUGAACCGCAUGGUUCGAAAUUGAAAGGCGGCUUCGGCUGUCACUUAUGGAUGGACCCGGGUCGCAUUAGCUAGUUGGUGAGGUAACGGCUAACCAAGGCAACGAUGCGUAGCCGACCUGAGAGGGUGAUCGGCCACACUGGGACUGAGACACGGCCCAGACUCCUACGGGAGGCAGCAGUAGGGAAUCUUCCGCAAUGGACGAAAGUCUGACGGAGCAACGCCGCGUGAGUGAUGAAGGCUUUCGGGUCGUAAAACUCUGUUGUUAGGGAAGAACAAGUGCUAGUUGAAUAAGCUGGCACCUUGACGGUACCUAACCAGAAAGCCACGGCUAACUACGUGCCAGCAGCCGCAGUAA